rnacentral:rRNA from 1 species
GACAGAGGGUGCAAACGUUGUUCGGAAUUACUGGGCGUAAAGCGAGUGUAGGCGGUGUGGUAAGUCGGAUGUGAAAGCCCCGGGCUCAACCCGGGAAGUGCACUCGAUACUGCCACGCUAGAGUAUCGGAGAGGUUGGUGGAAUUCUCGGUGUAGAGGUGAAAUUCGUAGAUAUCGAGAGGAACACCGGUGGCGAAGGCGGCCAACUGGACGAAUACUGACGCUGAGACUCGAAAGCGUGGGGAGCGAACAGG